rnacentral:ncRNA from 2 species
ACAUGUGGGGGUGCCUUCGGUGCCCGACACAAGAUGUAUGCUCAUGCUCGCUGUCGCCGCAGGGGAAUCCGGUGCGAAUCCGGAACUGUCCCGCAACGGUGUACACGCGCUAUUCGUGCCUGCGCACGACUGUGCGCGCGGCCAGUCCGAGGACCUGCCGACAGCGCGCCCGGCCA